UAAAUUUAGGGUUUUUGGUUAAAAUUGAUUUGGAAAUUUAAUUUAAAAUUAAUAUAUGGGUUUAUGUUAAAAUUGAUUUGGGGUUUAAGUUAGGGUUAACAUGAGAGACAAUCCUCACUUUUGGCCGAAAAAAAUAAAAUAAAAUGGUGGUCUCUCUUUUCCGAGCUUAGCCCAUGAAUGCAUGAACCCACCGGACACCAAUCAUUUUAUCUAUUUUUGAAAAACAAUAAAUUUAGUUUACUUUUUGUAAAAUUCAGAUUUAAUGAAAACAUUGAGCUACUUAGUUUUCGUCUAAUGGCAGAUAAAUGUUAUAAUUAGACCAUUGGAUUGAGAACAUUUUUCUCAAAUUGGUAGGAAAUAACUUUUUGAUCUUUUAGGUUAAUUAAUUUUUUUACUUUAGUAACUCGUGUUCAUUUUUGUUUGUGUUAUUAAUACUAACAUUAUUUCUCAGUAACAACUAAUUAUUAUACUUCAAUUUAUCUAACAUGUUUGCUCCAACUCAUUUUACUCAUUCUAUCUUCAAAUAUGUAUAAUAUACCUAUCUCAAAAUGUCUCAUCAAAUCAAAAUCCUUAAUAAAGCCUAUAUGAAAAUAUUUGGAGAUAAACAAUAAAAAAAUAUUAAAAAAGAACCCUAAUUAAUACAUUUAAAAACCUUAAACUAAAUAAUUAUUUUGAAAAAAUGAAAAUGCAGUAAAUUGUCAAUGAGUCGAUGUGUUAGAUAUAUCUAAAAAAUGCAAAUGUUGGGUUCCACGACUUAGAUGUGACUGAUCCAUCCUUAUAUUAUUACGUGGAUACACGCUGGUAGCACCAUUAUUAUGCUUUGUGAUAUCUUAAUUUAUGUUUAUGAUAUUCAAAAUAGAUCAACUUACUCUAAGAGUAUAAGUAGAAAAAAUCUAUUCCGCAUAUUAGUUAUUCAAUCUUAAAAAACUCAAUGGUUUAUAUGUACUUACUAAUUCAAACCAUUGAAUUUUUCAAGAAUAAAUGAUCAUAAUAUAGAGUAUGUUUUUUUCACUUACUAAAAUAUAAGAAAUGAUGCAUUAAAGGAAUCUAUGCCAGACCAGAUCACGAGUGAAGGCCCCACAUUUUAUGGACAAUUGUUGGUCCACGUCAUCAACCUUGGAAUGAUUCACUUUCUCUGUUUGGCUUCUCGCUACAGAAUCUCAAAAUUGAGUAUAGGACGGUUGUUUAGAACUUAGAUGAUGAUGAUAACAUGUCAGGAGAAAAAGUUGGAAGGCGGUGGAGAGUCCCCACUCAAGACAGACAUAUUAACCGAAACACUGCUGGAUUGUGAUUUGAUUUGGUGGCAUUAACCAAUGUGAUACUGCC